rnacentral:lncRNA from 1 species
CAUACUAAAUAUGAGACACACAUAGCAAAAACAAAAACGUUCGUUGUUCAACUGGAAUUCUUGCAUUUCGUCUGGCAGCCGCCUUGCAAAAGGAGAGUCCAACCACGUCGCUGGGGCCGUCCUGCAGACGCUGCCCGGCCUCCGCUCCAUCCCUGCAGGGCUCCCCGGGAGGCGUGCACCGUUGCCACGGCGACCAAAUCCCGGUCCCGGAUAACUCCCGGCACGACGGGGGCGGGGGAACCUAUCCCAGGCGGCUUCCGAUUGGUCCGCGUGUCCCCGUCCUCCAGGCCAAGGGCGGCCGCCUGCGGCGCGCAGGGUUCUGGGAGUUGUAGUCCGUGCGGCGGCGGCCCGGCUGGCUCGCAGCAGAGGCGGCGCUACGACGGAGCGGCUCUUGCAGGAGCUGAGCGCGCGCGCAACUCCAUCCCAGGACCUGGAGAGUGUGGAGGGGCUACAGUUCUCCAUCCUGGACUCUGCCUAGGGCCUGCUUCCCUGAGAACUGGAGAGAAGGGCCCCUGACUGCUGACCGUAUCCGCCUGCUGCCACCUACAUGUGUCUGGAGCCACUGGGACUGUCCUGGGAUCCAGCCCACU